rnacentral:tRNA from 1 species
CAACAGGUAGUUUAUAGAAGAAUAUUAAUUUUGGGUAUUAGGGGUAUAGUUGAUUUCUAUUUUGUUGA